rnacentral:rRNA from 1 species
AUUGAACGCUGGCGGCAUGCCUUACACAUGCAAGUCGAACGGCAGCACGGGUGCUUGCACCUGGUGGCGAGUGGCGAACGGGUGAGUAAUACAUCGGAACAUGUCCUGUAGUGGGGGAUAGCCCGGCGAAAGCCGGAUUAAUACCGCAUACGAUCUACGGAUGACAGCGGGGGACCUUCGGGCCUCGCGCUAUCGGGUUGGCCGAUGGCUGAUUAGCUAGUUGGUGGGGUACAGGCCUACCAAGGCGACGAUCAGUAGCUGGUCUGAGAGGACGACCAGCCACACUGGACCUGGGACACGGCCCAGACUCCUACGGGAGGCAGCAGUGGGGAAUUUUGGACAAUGGGCGAAAGCCUGAUCCAGCAAUGCCGCGUGUGUGAAGAAGGCCUUCGGGUUGUAAAGCACUUUUGUCCGGAAAGAAAUCCUUGGCCCUAAUACGGUCGGGGGAUGACGGUACCGGAAGAAUAAGCACCGGCUAACUACGUG